UUGUAGUGUACAAAACACACGUACACAUACUAGAUGUUAGACAAAAAGUCAGUGUGUCCUCUACAACACACAUGUGCACUAUCUAAGCCACCGAACAAGUACACAAACAAGGGUGAAAUUGGAAAGCGAGUGAAUCAGACAACAAAUUAAAACAUUGUUCAUAAAAUUUGCAACUCCCGAAGUAGGACAUAUUUUCUGGGAUGUAGGGAGUAGUAAAUAGGAUUGUUUCUAUAGAGAAUGAGAAAAUUUGUUUUUUUGAGCAAGAUUUAGUGGCGGAUUUUUGGAGAAUUAAAAUAAGUAAUCAACUCAAACAAAAAUAAUCAAACGAAAAAAAACUAAAACUAAAUCAAUAAUAAGGAAAGCUUUAGCCAGAGGAAUAACUUUUGGAAAUGGUUCGCACAACUCAUCCUUGAUGCAAUAAUAAAUUCUAUCAUUCAUUGAUAAACAGGUCAUAGCUAUCAACAAACUUUGACAGCCACUUUUCCUUAUUUUGUUGGUAGUUAAAGUAUAACCAUUAACUACAUCCCUAAUCAAGAGAUAAUCCAAGGUACGAUCGUAGGAUUCAAUCUCACAAUUACAGUAAAAACUAGAAAAGCCUAGUUCUAACCAACAUACAUGCUAUUAAGGUUUGUUUAGAUUAGAUCAUAUGUCUUCUUGACACAAACCCAAUCAUGCCAAUCACCAUAAGAAUUAAAAUAGCCAAACAAUUACGGAUUCAACUAUUUUAAUUGGUAGUAUAUUAUCAAGUUAAUUUAAAUAUCGAACCCUUGAUAUUCAAACAACACAAUAAUCAUAAGCAAAGAAAUCAGGAAAUAUACAAAUACCAAUGAAUUGAAAGAAAUAAUUAAAAUAAAUAUAAUUAGCAAUAAUUUACUCUAAGUUUCACAAAAAUCUAAUAUGAACAAACUAAUAAAGAAAUAAAUAUGGGGACAUUGAAAGGUGGAUUACAAAAUUCAUUAUUUGUAAGACUAAAA
rnacentral:lncRNA from 1 species